rnacentral:rRNA from 1 species
CCCUUAGAUGUCCGGGGCCGCACGCGCGCUACACUGAAGGAAUCAGCGUGGCUUUCUCCCUGACCCGAAAGGGUUGGGAAACCCGUUGAAUCUCCUUCGUGAUAGGGAUUGGGGCUUGAAAUUGUUCCCCAUGAACGAGGAAUUCCCAGUAAGCGCGAAUCAUAAGCUCGCGUUGAUUACGUCCCUGCCCUUUGUACACACCGCCCGUCGCUACUACCGAUUGAACGGUUUAGUGAGGGCCUCGGAUUGGUCUCGGCCCGCUCUUUACCGGGCGGCGCCGUUGGUCGAGAAGACGCUCGAACUUGAUCGUUUAGAGGAAGUAAAAGUCGUAACA